rnacentral:rRNA from 1 species
AGUGGCGGCACGGGUGAGUAAAACGUGACUAACCUACCCUCGAGUGGGGAAUAACCUCGGGAAACCGGGGCUAAUACCGCAUAACAUCCACGGAUCAAAUGCGUAAGCAGCUUGGGGAGGGGGUCGCGGCUGAUUAGCUAGUUGGCGGGGUAAUGGCCCACCAAGGCAAUGAUCAGUAGCCGGCCUGAAAGGGCGCACGGCCACACUGGAACUGAAACACGGUCCAGACUCCUACGGGAGGCAGCAGUGGGGAAUUUUGCGCAAUGGGGGAAACCCUGACGCAGCAACGCCGCGUGGAGGAUGACGCCCCUUGGGGUGUAAACUCCUUUCGAUCGGGACGAUUAUGACGGUACCGGAUGAAGAAGCACCGGCUAACUCUGUGCCAGCAGCCGCGGUAAUACAGAGGGUGCAAGCGUUGUUCGGAAUUAUUGGGCGUAAAGGGUGCGUAGGCGGUGCGGUAAGUCUUUUGUGAAAUCUCCGGGCUCAACUCGGAGUCUGCAAGGGA